AGCUAAUUGAACCACAUCCAUUUUUUCAAAAUACCAAAAUUACCCUUGACAUUUUGUCCCAAAAGUAAAAACCCUACCUGGCGAUUGUUCUUUGAAGUCAGUGGCGUUUUUUCUCCCUUUGUUGGUGUCGUCGUCGUCAUUGUCCAUCGUCCUUGGUCUACGCUGCACUGCUCUGCGCUGAUCGUCCGUCUGCUCUGCUCAAUGCUGAUGGUGUGUCGCUUAAAUCGCGUUCCCUCGCCGUCGAUCGCCGCGCCAUGCCUCGCGUCGCCGCACCACGCCUCGCCUGGCCGCACCUCGCCUUGUUGCCUGAGGUUCUCGGUCGCAAUUGGCUACUAAAGCUUUUGAUGGAGAUGACUAUCUUAUUGGGACAUCUGCUGAACUCAAAUAUGCUCUUUUAGAAUUCUUCUCGGCUUGGAAACCAGCCGUUAUCAAUGUUAUUAUUGAUUCUCAUGCUGGUUCAAAGAGUGGGAGGCGGCAACACAAGAACUAAUUUCUACAUUAUUUGUAUUACACUAAAAUUACGUUUUCUAUUGUUUUCAUUUUUAGAUUUUAAAUUUCAAUAACACAAAUUCCCUAGCUCUAUGGUUUUCUAUAGUGUACCAUGAUAUGAUAAAGACACAAACUAUAUUCCAUGAAUCCACACAAAUAUAAAAUGUUACAUGAUCGUAAUGAAUACUUGAAUGAUGGAAACUGAAUUUUAUAUAUACUUAUUACUACUA